CCUACGCGUGACAGCAGUGAGGAAUAUUGGUCAAUGGGCGGGAGCCUGAACCAGCCAAGUCGCGUGAGGGAAGACGGUCCUAUGGAUUGUAAACCUCUUUAGGCGGGGAGCAAUGCCGGGCCCGCGUGCCCGGAGGGAUAGUACCCGCAUACUAAGCAUCGGCUAACUCCGUUCCAGCAGCCGCGUUAAUACGGGGGAUGCGAGCGUUAUCCAGAUUUAUUGGGAUUAAAGGUUGCGUAGGCGGACUGGAAAGUCAGCGGUAAAAUCGAGAGGCUCAACCUGUUUCCGCCGUUGAAACUGUCUGUCUUGAGUGUGCGAGAAGUAUGCGGAAUGCGUGGUGUAGCGGUGAAAUGCAUAGAUAUCACGCAGAACUCCGAUUGCGAAGGCAGCAUACCGGCGCCCGACUGACGCUGAGGCACGAAAGCGUGGGUAUCGAACAGGAUUAGAUACCCUUGUAGUC
rnacentral:rRNA from 1 species